GACGAACGCUGGCGGCGUGCUUAACACAUGCAAGUCGAACGGAAAGGCCCUGCUUUUGUGGGGUGCUCGAUUGGCGAACGGGUGAGUAACACGUGAGUAACCUGCCCUUGACUUUGUGAUAACUUCAGGAAACUGGGGCUAUUACCGGAGAGGAGCUCCUGCUGCAUGGGGGGGGUUGGAAAGUUUCGGCGGUUGGGGAUGGACUCGCAGCUUAUCAGCUGGUUGGUGGGGUAGUGGCUGACCAAGGCUUUGACGGGUAGCCGGCCUGAGAGGGUGAACGGCCACAUUGGGACUGAGAGACGGACCAGACUCCUACGGGACGCAGCAGUGGGGAAUAUUGCACAAUGGGCGGACGCCUGAUGCAGCAACGCCGCGUGCGGGAUGACGGCCUUCGGGUUGUAAACAGCUUUCGCAUGUGACGAAGCGUGCGUGACGGUAAUGGGUAAAGAAGCACCGGCUAACUACGUG
rnacentral:rRNA from 1 species